rnacentral:rRNA from 1 species
UACGGAGGGGGCUAGCGUUGUUCGGAAUUAUUGGGCGUAAAGCGCGCGCAGGUGGUUUCUUAAGUCUGAUGUGAAAGCCCACGGCUCAACCGUGGAGGGUCAUUGGAAACUGGGAGACUUGAGUGCAGAAGAGGAAAGUGGAAUUCCAUGUGUAGCGGUGAAAUGCGUAGAGAUAUGGAGGAACACCAGUGGCGGAGGCGACUUUGUGGUCUGUAACUGACACUGAGGCGCGAAAGCGUGGGGAGCAAACAGG